GAUCCUGGCUCAGAAUCAACGCUGGCGGCGUGCCUAACACAUGCAAGUCGAACGAGAAAGGGWAKCAAUUCCUGAGUACAGUGGCGCACGGGUGAGUAACACGUGACUAACCUACCCUGGAGUGGGGAAUAACUGAGGGAAACCUUAGCUAAUACCGCAUAAUACCUACGGGUCAAAGGAGCAAUUCGCUUCAGGAGGGGGUCGCGGCCGAUUAGUUAGUUGGCGGGGUAAUGGCCCACCAAGACAGUGAUCGGUAUCCGGCCUGAGAGGGCGCACGGACACACUGGAACUGAAACACGGUCCAGACUCCUACGGGAGGCAGCAG
rnacentral:rRNA from 1 species